rnacentral:rRNA from 1 species
UACGUAGGGUGCAAGCGUUAAUCGGAAUUACUGGGCGUAAAGCGUGCGCAGGCGGUUUUGUAAGUCUGUCGUGAAAUCCCCGGGCUUAACCUGGGAACUGCGUUUGAAACUGAAAGGCUAGAGUGUGGCAGAGGGGGGUGGAAUUCCACGUGUAGCAGUGAAAUGCGUAGAGAUGUGGAGGAACACCGAUGGCGAAGGCAGCCCCCUGGGCUAACACUGACGCUCAUGCACGAAAGCGUGGGGAGCAAACAGG